UACGGGGGGUGCGAGCGUUGUCCGGAAUCACUGGGCGUAAAGGGCGCGUAGGUGGUUUGAUAAGGGUGUGGUGAAAGCCCGGGGCUCAACCCCGGGUCUGCCGUGCCGACUGUCAAACUCGAGGGCUGUAGAGGCAGACGGAAUUCCGGGUGUAGCGGUGGAAUGCGUAGAGAUCCGGAGGAAGACCGGUGGCGAAGGCGGCAUCCUGGACCGGCAUUGACGCUGAGGAGCGAAAGCUAGGGGAGCAAACGGG
rnacentral:rRNA from 1 species